rnacentral:rRNA from 1 species
UACGUAGGGUGCGAGCGUUAAUCGGAAUUACUGGGCGUAAAGCGUGCGCAGGCGGUCUGUUAAGACAGAUGUGAAAUCCCCGGGCUUAACCUGGGAACUGCAUUUGUGACUGGCAGGCUAGAGUAUGGCAGAGGGGGGUAGAAUUCCACGUGUAGCAGUGAAAUGCGUAGAGAUGUGGAGGAAUACCGAUGGCGAAGGCAGCCCCCCUGGGCCAAUACUGACGCUCAUGCACGAAAGCGUGGGGAGCAAACAGG